rnacentral:rRNA from 1 species
UCGGGAAUUUUGGGCAAUGGGCGAAAGCCUGACCCAGCAACGCCGCGUGAAGGAUGAAGUAUUUCGGUAUGUAAACUUCGUAAGAAUAGGAAGAAUAAAUGACGGUACUAUUUGUAAGGUCCGGCUAACUACGUGCCAGCAGCCGCGGUAAUACGUAGGGACCAAGCGUUGUUCGGAUUUACUGGGCGUAAAGGGCGCGUAGGCGGUGUGGUCAAGUCAGUUGUGAAAUCUCCGAGCUUAACUCGGAACGGUCAACUGAUACUGUCACACUAGAGUACAGAAGGGGCAAUCGGAAUUCUUGGUGUAGCGGUGAAAUGCGUAGAUAUCAAGAGGAACACCUGAGGUGAAGACGGGUUGCUGGGCUGACACUGACGCUGAGGCGCGAAAGCC